rnacentral:rRNA from 1 species
AGAGUUUGAUCAUGGCUCAGAACGAACGCUGGCGGCAGGCCUAACACAUGCAAGUCGAACGGGCGUAGCAAUACGUCAGUGGCAGACGGGUGAGUAACGCGUGGGAACGUACCCUUCGGUUCGGAAUAACCCGGGGAAACUCGGGCUAAUACCGGAUACGUCCGCAAGGAGAAAGAUUUAUCGCCGAUGGAUCGGCCCGCGUCGGAUUAGCUAGUUGGUGGGGUAAUGGCCUACCAAGGCGACGAUCCGUAGCUGGUCUGAGAGGAUGAUCAGCCACACUGGGACUGAGACACGGCCCAGACUCCUACGGGAGGCAGCAGUGGGGAAUAUUGGACAAUGGGCGAAAGCCUGAUCCAGCCAUGCCGCGUGAGUGAAGAAGGCCUUAGGGUUGUAAAGCUCUUUCAGCGGGGAAGAUAAUGACGGUACCCGCAGAAGAAGCCCCGGCUAACUUCGUGCCAGCAGCCGCGGUAAUACGAAGGGGGCUAGCGUUGUUCGGAAUUACUGGGCGUAAAGCGCGCGUAGGCGGAUCGCUAAGUCAGGGGUGAAAUCCCAGGGCUCAACCCUGGAACUGCCUUUGAUACUGACGAUCUGGAGAUCGGGAGAGGUUGGUGGAAUUCCGAGUGUAGAGGUGAAAUUCGUAGAUAUUCGGAGGAACACCAGAAGCGAAGGCGGCCAACUGGCCCGAUACUGACGCUGAGGC